UUGGAUAUGCUGGACAUGUGUGUGUGUA
rnacentral:piRNA from 1 species